AUCGCUACCCAUCUCUCACUGCCUCCCAACCUAGGGUUCCCAAACACCGCUGCCCUCCGCCGCGUGUUCCUCCGCCACUCUCCCCACGCGCCGCGCCGUGGGCACCAUCGCCGUCUGUCUCUCCUGCCCAAUCGCUUGCCGCAACGAGUCACGCCGCCUCCUCCAUCCCCGUCACCUUCUGUCGGCCGAAGAUAGCCACAACGCCGAUGAGUGAAGGGGGUGGUGCCGUCGGAUCAGAGACACCAGGCGGUGGUGACAAUGACAGCGGCCGACAACCUAUGGGGAUUAGCAGGACAUGAGGGCACACGAUAGGCAGCAGCGCACAAUAUCCAUGUUCAGAAGUGGCGGUUUGGUGGUGACAACAGAUAAAAGCAUCAGUGAUGUGUUUCGGCUCUUGGCUUCCUGCACUGUUUGACUUCAGUUAAGUACUGCCGCCGCGCUACUUCUUAUGUGAAGGUACUGCUACUACUGCAGCGACGGCCAAUGAGGUAGAAUCGUGGCUGCAACUUGGCGAGUUAAGUAGUGGCUUAACUGAUUUUUCAAUGACCAAGCUGUGGUUCGUUGAUUUUGAUUGUACCUAUAUUCUCGUUCUCUAUUAUACCUCUGAACAAAUAUUAAUCUAGGAGUAUUUCCUACAGAGAUCAAGCAGAACUAGUCUACCGAAUUCAGAUAACUCUGUGCAACAGUGUGUUACCAACCAUAGAAAGAGUGAGCCCAUUAGGUUUUCCUGUGAUAAAAUGGCCUGAAGAUUACAGUUUCAAUUUGUUAUUCCAGUCUAGCUCAGGUGUUUCAUAGACUUUCAGAAAUAUCUAUUCUUGAACUUCACUGAAGUGGGCUUCCUUCUGAGAAAAAAAGUACCAAUGCAAAAAUGAUUUAUUUUGAUCAGUAUUCGCAAAAAAAUUACUUUGAUCAGGGAAGAGGAGGCAGUGAGGGGAGUGAGCAUGGUGACGGGUUGCUUUGGCGUUCUCUUGCACGGGGAUAGGAAGCUGGAGUAAUCCAAGACCAGGUAUGUCCCCAUUGCUCUUAGGAAGGAUACUACAUUUUUUAAGUCGUUUACUCUUACCACUCGAUCACGGUUUACUAUUACUCUAGGUGAGAACUGAGAUUUGCAAUUUUGUUAAUCUUCCUAAUGUUGCUCGCAUAGACAUAGUGGCCAAGAUGGGACAUUUUAUCUUCCUAAUGUUACCGAGUCAGAUUAAAGAUGGGACAUUUUAUCAGGUGUUGCUCGGAUGAGAGUGACCGAGUGAGAGAGAGGUUUGCUAUACCUUGUAUCUGAGCUAACAUCAUUUGAUUUAAUUGUUGCUUUUGAUCAUGCGUUCAGGACUAGCCUACAGCCAGGAAAGAACCUGAACCCCAAGUAGGAAGGAGGGGCUCGGUGUUGAAAAAAGAACAGAGAGAAUUGUGCUGAUCAGGAGAAGUUAACUCAAAAUCCAAGAUGUGACCUUCACAUAGCUCACAAACUUAACCACUAUUUGAUUCUUGGUAACAUUGUACGGGACACAUAACAUCCAGUUGUAUAACUGUAUAAGUAGGGUGUACUUGAUACCUAUGUUGUUCUUUGUUAACUUGUUCGCUGAAUAUUUUUCUUGCGGGAUAAGCAUCCGAUCUAUUCAUCAUC